CGCCGCCCCGGGAUUCCAGCUCAGGCCCUGAGAAAGACAAGAAAAGCAGUUCUCCAACCUCCCUCGCCACCCGAGCCUUCCCCCGCCGACCUGUCAUUGCUCUUGAAUGGUUCCCCGCUGGAGCACACCUCCCCCGUGUAAUACCAUGAUGUGACGGCUUUCUUGAUUUGUACUUCCAGAAUGCAACUUUAGAAAGUUGAAGAAAUGGAGACAGAAUAGAUAGAAUGGU
rnacentral:lncRNA from 1 species